rnacentral:tRNA from 1 species
AAAAAGAAAAAAAAUUAAAUUGUAAUUUUAAAUAGGAAGAAAUUUAAGGAGUUCCUCUUCUCUUUUUA